UACAGAGGGUGCGAGCGUUGUUCGGAAUUACUGGGCGUAAAGCGUGCGCAGGCGGUCUGUUAAGACCGAUGUGAAAUCCCCGGGCUUAACCUGGGAACUGCAUUGGUGACUGGCAGGCUUUGAGUGUGGCAGAGGGAGGUAGAAUUCCACGUGUAGCAGUGAAAUGCGUAGAGAUGUGGAGGAAUACCGAUGGCGAAGGCAGCCUCCUGGGCCAACACUGACGCUCAUGCACGAAAGCGUGGGGAGCAAACAGG
rnacentral:rRNA from 1 species